rnacentral:rRNA from 1 species
GGCCUAACACAUGCAAGUCGAACGGCAGCACAGAGGAGCUUGCUCCUUGGGUGGCGAGUGGCGGACGGGUGAGGAAUACAUCGGAAUCUGCCUAUUUGUGGGGGAUAACGUAGGGAAACUUACGCUAAUACCGCAUACGACCUACGGGUGAAAGCCGGGGACCUUCGGGCCUGGCGCAGAUAGAUGAGCCGAUGUCGGAUUAGCUAGUUGGCGGGGUAAAGGCCCACCAAGGCGACGAUCCGUAGCUGGUCUGAGAGGAUGAUCAGCCACACUGGAACUGAGACACGGUCCAGACUCCUACGGGAGGCAGCAGUGGGGAAUAUUGGACAAUGGGCGCAAGCCUGAUCCAGCCAUGCCGCGUGGGUGAAGAAGGCCUUCGGGUUGUAAAGCCCUUUUGUUGGGAAAGAAAAGCAGUCGGUUAAUACCCGAUUGUUCUGACGGUACCCAAAGAAUAAGCACCGGCUAACUUCGUGCCAGCAGCCGCGGUAAUACGAAGGGUGCAAGCGUUACUCGGAAUUACUGGGCGUAAAGCGUGCGCAGACGGUUAUGCAAGAC